rnacentral:tmRNA from 1 species
GGGGGCGUCAUUGGUUUCGACGUGGGUCGCGAAGUUUGUAGGUGCAUGCCGAGGAGGAAACUAUCCUCGUAAAAAAUGUUUCAAAUGUUAUAGUUGCAAACGACGAUAACUACGCUCUAGCUGCUUAAGCUAGCCCUUACCAAAUUCAGCUUGCGGUUUUUGGAUAAGGGUCGAUUAGCAAGAUCGCCUAGGUCGGUGUUUAGACGAUUCUAGGUUAAACUUAUCUAAACUGGUCAAACCAAAUCCUGAUUGUCGGAGUUGGCACGACGAGAUUAAAAGACAAAGCUAAGCAUGUAGAUCCUCAAAUAGAGGGCUGGCGGACGCGGGUUCGACUCCCGCCGCCUCCACCA